rnacentral:tRNA from 1 species
GGGCGGAUGGCGGAAUGGUAGACGCGCUAGUCUUAGGAACUAGUGGGGAAACUCAUGGAGGUUCGAGCCCUCUUCCGCCCA